rnacentral:rRNA from 1 species
GUGGGGAAUCUUCCACAAUGGACGAAAGUCUGAUGGAGCAACGCCGCGUGAGCGAUGAAGGAUUUCGGUCUGUAAAACUCUGUUGUUCAUGACGAACGUUUCCUGGGUUAACAAUCCAGGGAAGUGACGGUAGUGAACGAGGAAGCCACGGCUAACUACGUGCCAGCAGCCGCGGUAAUACGUAGGUGGCGAGCGUUGUCCGGAAUUAUUGGGCGUAAAGAGCAUGUAGGCGGCUUUUUAAGUCGGUCGUGAAAAUGCGGGGCUUAACCCCGUAUUGCGGUCGAAACUGGAGGGCUGGAGUGCAGGAGAGGAAAGGGGAAUUCCCAGUGUAGCGGUGAAAUGCGUAGAUAUUGGGAGGAACACCAGUGGCGAAGGCGCCUUUCUGGACUGUGUCUGACGCUGAGAUGCGAAAGCCAGGGUAGCAAACGGGAUUAGAAACCCCGGUAGUCC